UUUUGGCAGCAAUAGUGCAAUAGCUCCACCUGAUCCCAUGCCGAACUCAGAAGUGAAAUGUUGUUACGCCGAUGGUAGUGUGGGGAUUCCCCAUGUGAGAGUAGGUUACUGCCAAAUA
rnacentral:rRNA from 1 species